rnacentral:rRNA from 1 species
UACGGAGGGUGCGAGCGUUGUCCGGAAUCAUUGGGCGUAAAGGGCGCGUAGGUGGCCCGGUCAGUUCGUGGUGAAAGCGCGGGGCUCAACCCUGCGUCGGCCAUGAAUACUGCCGCGGCUGGAGCACUGUAGAGGCAGGUGGAAUUCCGGGUGUAGCGGUGGAAUGCGUAGAGAUCCGGAAGAACACCGGUGGCGAAGGCGGCCUGCUGGGCUAUGGCUGACACUGAGGCGCGACAGCGUGGGGAGCAAACAGG